UAUUUAUUUAAUUAUUUUUAUUUAUUAGUUUAGUUUAUUUUUAUAUAAAUCAUUUUAUUUGUUUUUGUAUAUGUUAUAGAUUUAAUAUAUUUUAUUAUAGUUUAUUUUACUGUAUAGGAUAUUUAUAUUUAUUAUAAGAAGUAAAUUUUAUUUGUUGUACCUUGUGUAUCAGGGUUUAUUAAAAUUUAUUAUUUAAUUUUUAUUUCCCGAUUUUAAAGGAUUUAAUUGUUUAUAUUAGUUACUGUAUCAUAAGUAUUAAUAAUAUAUAAUUGGUAGUGAGAUGUUAUUCGAUUUUAAAUAUAUCUGGUUUUCUAAGAAAUAAAUUUAAUUUACAUAUUUUUAAUAUAUAUUUAUUUUUGUAAUUGUUAUUAUAUUAAUGUGAAUUUUAAGGGGGAUAAGCUCUUUAAAUUAUUUUUAUAAUUUAUUAUAUUUAUUAAGUUUUGUUGGUUUUAUAAUAACUAUCAUUUUAAGUUUGUUAGAAUUUUAUUUUUGUNNNNNNNNNNNNNNNNNNNNNNNGAUUGAAUUAGUAAAUUUAUUUUUAUUAUAUAUUUAUUUUUGUAAAUUUUAUUAUAGGAAUUAGGCAAAAACUUAAAUAAUAUUCUCGCCUGUUUAUCAAAAACAUCUUUUCUUGUAUUUAUUUGAAGUAUAACCUGCCCACUGAUAAAUUAAUUGAAUGGCCGCGGUAUUUUGACCGUGCAAAGGUAGCAUAAUCAUUAGUCUUUUAAUUGAAGGCUGGAAUGAAUGGUUGGACGAGGAAUAAACUGUCUUUAAGUUGAUUAUUAUAUUGAAUUUAAAAUUUAAGUUAAAAUGCUUAAAUUUUUUUAUGGGACGAGAAGACCCUAUAGAGUUUAAUAUUAUUAUUUUUAUUUAAUUAUGUUAUUUUAUUUAUUAAUUAUAAUAUUUUGUUGGGGUGAUGGGAAAAUUGAUUUAAUAAACUCUUCUUUUUAUUUAUAUAUUUAUUUAUAUACUUUUGAUCCAUUAUUAUUGAUUAUAAGACUAAAUUACCUUAGGGAUAACAGCGUAAUCUUUUUUGAGAGUUCUUAUCGAUAAAAAGGUUUGCGACCUCGAUGUUGGAUUAAGAUUUAAUUUGGGUGUAGAAUUUCAAUUAGUUUAGGUCUGUUCGACCUUUAAAAUCUUACAUGAUCUGAGUUCAAACCGGCGUGAGCCAGGUUGGUUUCUAUCUAUUAAAAUUAUUAUGUCUUAGUACGAGAGGACCAGAUAUUUGAAAUAAUUUUAUUUAUAUGAUUAUUAAUAAUAUUU
rnacentral:rRNA from 1 species